rnacentral:tRNA from 1 species
GAAGUAAGAAAAAUUGGAUUUCUAAUCUAAUAUAUAAUUAUUAAAUUAAUUAUUAUUUCU